rnacentral:lncRNA from 1 species
GAUCUUGUCGUUGGUGGUGGUAUUUUUGUGAGAUAGGUUUGAGUUCCUUCUAUGGUGUUUUGGCCUUUCCAUAAUUUUGAAAAGUUGGUUGCUUUUCUGUAAAAUAUUAUUGGUGUACCCAUUUCUAAUAUUUGGGUGUGUUGAGGGGCUGCGAUAUUUGGGCCCGCCGAUCGCCGCGGCGUCGCAUGGGAAAGUUUGACUCACGUCUCGUGCCCCCAAAAAUUUUUUUUUAAAGUUUGAAAAGUUAGGCAUGUAAAUUUUUCACACAGUAAUACUUAGAUAGCGCAUAAGGCUACCAUAUUUCGUAGCAAUGUGAUGGGAUGUGGGUACAAGAGUGGUGGUCACACGUUGAUUAGACUAAAAUAACGGGGGGAACUGAUAGUAAUAAUUGCACAAAGAAUUGAGAAGCAGACCAACUGUUAGCCUAUGGGAACUGAAUCAUUUCAGUUUCACAUAUUAUCUAUCCAACUAUCAAGCGCAAAACAUCUACAUAUUAUAAGCAUCUAUUAUGCCAAAAUAAUACCAUCCAAGUGGAAAAUAUCAUAACAAACAUCCAAGUUUAUAACAUGUAUAUAAAAAACACUAGCCCGUUCAAUUAGUUCGACACAUGAAUUAUUAAUAAAUAAUUAUUAACCUAACCAUAUAAUAUAAACUCAGUUCUCUAAAUUUUAAAUCAGAACCGAAUCAUUUAAACCUUGUUUACCCAUCAUUUAAACACUUCAGAUUAUUGGUACAACCCUUUUGUUGUCUCUACAUUGACUUUUUUCUUUUCUUUGUAAUAUGGGGUGUAUUGUUCACAUACUCUCCUGCCAUGUCGAACCGAAUAGAAAGCCAAUUACUUGAGAAGUAGCCAUAUAUAUCAAGUCAUAACACAUCCAUUUUAAAUAAUCGAGAUUUUAGUUUCUAAUUCGUCAUUGCAACAUGCCUACUUACAAUAGAGUUAGAGAUGCUAUUUGUUCACAUUACCACCCAUAAUGUGAUUAGCUUAAACAACAUAAAACGGUUCCUUCAAGCAAUAAACCUCACUAUUCCCACAAAGAUCAUCAUUGACCAGUACGAGUAUCCAACAAAAUAAGGCAAUUUUCUCUCGCAAAAUGGUAGUAUGUUUUGCUUUGGCGUGUUGCUAGUAACAUCACUAGAUAAGUUGUGUACCCUCUCAUCUCUCUCGUACAUUUAUCUUCCAUUCUAACUUUGAUUCCAUUACACCGAGACCUAACCAUAUUCACACCCUCAUUUUUUUUUAUCCUCUUGUUAGUAAGUUUUGCACUGUUUGUUUUGUUCACCAUAGAUAGCGCAUUCGCCAUUCAAAGGCUAUGAGAUCGCUAAUGAACUAAAAUUUCCAAUCUUCACCUUCAGAGACAGUCCAUGAAUUUGUUUUUAGAGAACAUCUUGACCUAUUUUCUCCAAUUCAUUGAGUUGUCUUUCUUUUUACUCUAAUUUUUCUUGAAUCUUAUAGAUGGAAGCCCAGAAGGCCAUGAAGUAGUAUGAUCAAAUUUCUAUGCAACUUCGGUACAGUGUGGGGAGGUGCAUCCAACCUGAAAAUUAAGUUGACCAAAGAAAUAUCAAUUCAAUUGUUUCAUUCCAACCCUCUCGUCUACCACUACAGCUCCGUUUGGAACCAGCUUAUUUGAAGUUUUGAUUGCCUUUUUUGCUUAAAAUAAGCAAAAAAGCCAGUCAGAAUUAUUUUUUUUUGCUUUUUUAUUUUUGCUUAUUUGCUUAUUUUUAUCUAAAGUAAAGACAGAAAAUUAAAAAAGACAAAUUUUUUUAAUUUUUUCGAUAAUACCUUAAAAAAACUUGACUUUCAAGUAAUUACCGAACGAAGCUUUAUAUUGGUAACCGGAUUGAGCAAAAUUUCAGUUUGUUGGCCACUAGCUAGGUGCAGCAAGUGUCAACAGGGGCGGCGAACCAUUCAAUUUCCACAUUAAUUUUAUAUUAAGCAUAGGAGUACGAGUAGAUUGCAGCCUGCCUCGGAUAAGUUCAUUUUUUCACAAAUGAACACGGAUCCGCUCAUAGAAGGCAAAUUCAACUAAAAAAUGAGUAAAAAUAUUCCCUGUACGAGGAUUGAUUUUUGUAAGGGUUAAUAAAAAUCUUCAUUGCAUAGGUUAAUUUUGCAUGUGCUGUAUGACAUAAAUUAGUAAAUAUGGGACCCAAUUUUGUAAGUUAAGAGAUUUGUUAAUUGAGGAAUAUAUGGGUUGUCCAAUGAAAAUGUUAAAAAAAAAUCUUGGGUUCCACCAAUUAUUUUCUUACAUUGAUACUAUCCACAUUACCAAUACUCUGGCAUUUGUAACAACCGUUAACUAUCUUUUAACCAUUAACAGUCAUUGAGAGCCAAAUACCGACUAAAACAUUUCUAACUAUUUGAGACUUCUCAUCUUAGUAAUGCAUUAACAGGGGCCAUGAAGAUACUCUAGAUAAUCAAUUACAGUUCUCAAAUACUACUUUAAUUGGCAAGAUCUAUUAAAGCAAUUGCACAAAUUAACAAUGAUAAGAUCAUCUCCAUUGGCAAUAUAUAUUUUUAUUUGUUAAGUGUCGAAAGAACAAAAGUGAGAUCCAAUUAACUUGUUAGAUACUUAUUUUCGAAUUAAUUUACACAUGGCAAACUCUAUUGCAUAUACUACACACAAAGUGGAUGAUUUUUAUCUUUAUAUUUGAUAUUUUAUAUUUAUCAAUAUCCCCCUUAUAUGAUAUUUUGAUAUUUUAUCCAUUCCCCUUAUGAUAUUGCUGGGAAGGGGUUAAUGGGAUUUUUUGCCUUCUGGCCAGACCAGGCACCUUGAAAAGUUUGCAAAUGAAGUCUUAUUUUACAUAGCAUAAUUGUGGUAGGUUUGGGCAAACAGAAGGGUGAAUAGCAAUUGGUUGGCAAUGAUCUAUUAGGAUGAUAUAAGAAUCAAUCCUCACACGACAGUAAUCUCAAUUAUGGAGGUCAUAGAUGAUUUCAAUGUGAAAGUGUCCCAAAGUCAGGUAUAUAGGGCAAAAAACAAGGCUUUGAAGAGAAUACAGUAAAAUUGUGGGACUUUUGUAAUGAGAUUGCAAGGUAGUAAUCCUGACCGGAUGAGUUGCUAUAGUGAGAGUGAUGAUAUGGCCCAAAAUACACGAGAAAUAGGAAGGAUCAAGAAGAUGUAUCAGCUUACAGACCCUUGUGUGUUUAAAUUGAACAGAGUUUGAAUGUAGGGCAAACUUUGAUACCCACCUCUCAGUAACCUAGAAGAUAAGACUUGCGCGUGAGAAGAUGGCAACUAACUGGGAUUCUUUGAGCAUUCUACUUGGUGUGAUUUGUGGGCAUCAAGGGACCAAUCAUAAGCAGUAUAAUGGACCAAUGUCAUUCAGGCAGACUUCAUGAAGAAAGAUCUUAUGACAUGUCCUGCAACCAAUGAUGGUUUGAUAUGUGAGAAAUAACCAAGGCCUCCCCAGCCUUUGGCAAAGCUACCUGGGAGUGCCCAAAAAAGCUACAAGAAGGAACCAGUGAGCUCCUCCAGCAUCCCCAACACAAAUUGAGAAGACAGCAUUCCAAUGAGUUGUAAAGGUGUGGGCAAACGAGGCACUACAAUAUGAACUGUACACUGAUCUUGCCAAUUCCCUCAACUCCAAGGAAAAGUCCCUCCAGCUUCCCAAGGUGUAAGGCUAUAUAACCAUCAACCAUGAGGUGCACACAUAGGCUGCACUUUCAGUCCAAAGUUUCAGUUCCAAUCUUUCAUCACCUCCAACUUGUGUCCCCAAGCUGCGGCCAACCUCAUGGGGCUGCCUGCUUUUUCGAUCCCCAGCUAGGAGCCACCUCGGGGACUGCAACAUAUGCAGGUCCUUUCAGCCCCAAUUGGGCUCCAUGCUAGAAUUCAACUCCCCAACAUCCUUAAAAUUAACUAUUCUCUUUGUUAUGAACUCUAUCUAUUUUUUAGGGAGGCCCCUUACUUUUGUUAAGACUUAAUCUUAUGUUUUGGUUUAAUUACUAGUAAGUGCUCGUGUCCACGGGCUCUAUGAAAAAAAAUAUUUUAACGAUUGGUCGAGUUUUUAUAACCUAAAAACAGAUAAGAUAUAACUCAACUGGAAUUUGAAUUGAAAAAUCGGAAUUCCUUACAAACCAAACCACAACUCAAAGUGCAAUUAUUGCAUAAACCAAAGUUACAUGAUAAUUAAAUAAAGCUAAAAAACAAAACCUUGCAAAAAAAUUAAACUGUCACUAUACUAUUUUUUCUCCCCCGAGAUUAAUAAAAUGAACAAAGGAUAGAGAUCUCUUUAAGAUAGAAUUGGACGAUUCUAAGUUCAAACACAAUCUACUAAACUACUAUACACAAAUCUCUAAACUUAUGCUAAAACAAGAGUACCUAAAAAGUACAUUUAAUAACACAAUGACAUUGCAAAUUAGUCAGCAAUGUCAUCAUCAUCCAAACUACAGGAAAUAUAUUGGGUGGACUCUCCCUCCAACAUCAUCUCGUUAUAUCCAGGUGACACGGAGCUCAAGUCAUUCAGUUCACAUCAAAGAUAAUUCCAAAAAAUUGUCGUCAUUACUCCAAUAAAAUCGCUCAUUUAUAAAACAUAUAACCACACAUGCAAUGUUUAGUAUGUUAAAUCUUUAGACACAUGAAAAAUAGGUCUAAACAUUUCUUAUGGAAUAAGCAAAAUCAAUUUUGAUAACGACAAAGAUCCCCAACCAAGACCAACCAACCAUCCAAAUAGUAAAUUAGUACAUUCAAAUUUUGACCAUAGAGGGUUGUUGUAUUGGAAAGCAAUAAAGUGAGAGAAAGAACAGAAAGGACUUCAACCGAUAUCAAAGACCCACCCCGAAAAUCGAUUGAAGCCAAAUUGAGAGUUUGGGGACAGCCCGUUAAACACGUUUUCGUGGGCGGUAAAGGCGGGCAGGAGCCCCUGAGCUGCCCUAGCUGCCGCCCGAUUUUUUUUUUGAUGAUUUUGCCACCUAAGAAGCCCUUUCUCCGAAGCUGAACGAACCAACCCGCUAGGACUGUGACCUUGGACCAUGUUAUGCCCACGUCCAAUCACACCGGAGCAAGCUCCGCGGGCCCAGUAUCGUUCCAAACCCCCAAAACCCAACCAAGCUUUCAAAAGCCUUGAAUCGCUGAAUUUGCGUUUGAGUGAGGGAUUUGCAAAUCUGCUAGUGUUAUGAGCAACGCACGCCAUCCCGUAUUGCCUGAAACGCAAAAACAGAGAUGAAAAAUAUAGCAGACCAAGAAAUGAAAUGGGUUGGGGGCAAUUGAUCCAUGAGCUGAAAUGUUGAUGAUUUUGUGUGAGGUGAAGAAAAUCUGUGGAUGGUCUUUCGUUUCAGUACCAAAAAAAACUGACAGAAUAAAAAUGUUCUACUAAAAAUAAACCUGAAAAAUAAACGAAGGCAAGAGAAUUGCUUAGGCUAUGAUUAAUGGUAUACCUCUCACGACUAAAACAAAACAAAACCAUAAUCCUAAGUACCCCCUAUUUUAAUGAAUUUCAUUCAGUUUUGGGAACUCAGGGCCAUGAUUUAGGAAUGAGCUUUGGGUGGGGGGACAGAAACACAAGUGACUGCCCAUACAAAAAUUCGCAUAGCAGUACACUCCACAUACACACUCCAAGCCACUCCACUCCACAAUCAAAGUACACUCGGACAAACUCCACACACUGUGUUUUUUUUUGUUUUUAUUUGUUUUUUUUUAUUCUAAAAAGAAAAACAGAACAAUCCUUUGUGUUUUCAUUCAUUUCAUCAAUACCUGGAAUCAAACCAAUACAGGAAAAAGACAGAUUUGAUUCCACAACAUGCCCGAGUUGCCAUCACGCGAAUUAUAAAUGUUGGGAUUCCUGUUACCCUGAGAACAAACAAAAAGAAGACUAAGAUUUACAAAUCUCAUAAAUGUGUGUGGAAUAAAGAUAUCCUCUCCUUCAAAAAUCUAAUUUCAUGCAAUAAAAGAGGACAAUAUGGAGACUCUGAAGCUUAUUUUGGAUCGUGAAUUUGAGAAGGGAUUUUAUGAAUAAAUAACAAAUACGGGGGGCAUCUUUCCCUUCAUAACCCCCACAAAUCCAUGACUCAAAUCAACAUCAUGUUUUCCUACACAAAACAACAAGCUAUACAAUCAAACCAUAUACUGUCUCGACUAAGAAUAAGAACAUGAUAUCCACAUCCCUGCCCAGCACUAUAAAGGAAGAAUACAAACAAUUAAUAACGAAAGAUACAUCUUGUACUCAAACAUCUCAAUUUCCGAGCUAAACCGAUCAUAAAUCCACGAAUAAAACAGUACUAACUGUAACAUUUCGAGCCAAUUGGUAGAGAACGAAAGAAAAUAAUAGAAUAAUAGUGUUUAGAAAAGACCCGCCCUGCAAUUUAAACCCUCUUUCUUCUCCGCAUUAUAUGUCAGAUCAACUAUGAUCAGGAAUUACCUGCUGUGCAGAAUAAUAUAGGCGCUUGUUAGAUUGACCUGAGUUCCAACUUCUCCCAUAAAACGACGAGGGCUUGUCUGUAUUGAUUGCACUUGCUUCGUCCGGAUUCUUUCUCAAUGCAGCUUCUUGCGUUUCUCUGGUUCCGUUUGCCUGGGCCUUUACCAUGUAACUUGUGAGAUAAACCCGAAAUGCUUCUUUCGAGUCCAUGAUUCUUCCGUACUCAUCCUCUCCUCUCAAUUCUUAUUCUCCUUCUUCGACCAUCAUCAGCAGUACCAAAUCUUUCCUCGUCUUGGCGAUUUGCCGCCGCCUAUAGUUCAUCGAUUCCUUACAACGCAAAAGAAACAAAAAAAAUAAAAAUCCAAAUUUUAUGAUCCAAAAUUCUCAAAUCAGACUGCAAUAAAUAGCUAGAGAUAGAUUUAAGAUUCAAACUGAAUUGUGACUUGUAUUAUAAUUAUUACAAUAAUAUAAUAUAUUGUAUAGCAAUAACAAAAAUUUGUAUGCCUCGUUCUUAAAAUUUAUUCGAGAAAAUGACGUACACUAUCUUUAACAUGAAAAUAUUGCUUAUUAUUAGUCUUCUGUGUUUUUAAAUAUGAUUCAUUUUUUUAUUUUUUAAUUUCUCCACUACAAGCCAAAUUAAAAAUAUGUUUUUUGAGAAGUCAAUGCUUAGUCUAGUGGUAAGGGCAAGCCUUACCAAAACUUCGGUCUUGGGUUCAAAUUUUACCACUUGCCCCCGGACAUAUAGCCUAUUGGCAAAAGAUGAGCGUCUGGGAUGCAAGCUAACACUCGGUAGUCCCGCAUUCGAUUCCUGACUGCUGCGUUGCAUAACUGCGUUUAUAUCCUGUAACCGCGUUUACAUCCUGAGGUUGUGAAGGACUAACUGUCACAGGCAAUAGAAAAAAUAUGUUUUUUGAAAAAAACAUGAAAAAGUACACUACAAAGAGAAAAUAUCACUUGAAAAAAUAAAAAAAAAAAAUUAACCAAAAAUUCUCACGACAGUUAACAAAUCCAAGAUUUUCAAUGAUAACAGAAUCCUUACUUUUGAGAAUGGGACAAUCCAAGAAGUACCAAAGAAAAUAAAAUGUUUAAUGUUGAAGUAAAUUUCAACAGAUUUGUCCUGCGACCAGGUAGUUUAGUCCGCAAAUGACUUGC